AGCAGUGUAUCUAACAGCUUCAUUAAUGCCAGAGUAAUUAUUAUGUACCACAGUAGUGGCUAUCGCAUCAGGAAUUUCUAUACCAGAACUGCAGCAGCAUUCUGAUUCUUCAGAACUCAAGAGCAACGUUUGUAAAGCAUGCCUUUUUGCUUGGUUUCACUAUACGGUACCACAAAGGGCUUUACGAGCAUGGAGCGGGGAUAAUUCAUAUGCCCAGGGCUGGGGAGAGGAGAGCCUGCCUGAGCUGAUGCUACCGCCAACAGAAAUGUCUUUGCAACCGGGGCCAAGUAAUCAGGAUACAAACCUGGGGAAAGGCAGUCUCCGAGGAUGGAUGUACGCUUGAAGCCACUCUGAUGUUUCAGUGCUCCUGCACGUGGUGCCUACUUGGAUAUACAAUUCCUUGGAGGCCCUUAACCCAACUGUGCCAUGUUUGAGCUGGUAUUGGUGAUGUCUAUCACUGGAGUGGAUGAAAACACAGACAUGUAGGUAGAGAAAUGCUGGACUGGAAUGGUCUUUGUAAAGGAAAGCCAUGAUAUUACGGCAGAUGCCAGAAGUGGCAAGUUUUGGAUCGGGUUUGACGUGGAGGUUCAACACAAGGCAAGAAGCCCGAUGAGAGGUGGAGUGACCGUGGGAAAAGCCAUCGCAGAAGUUUGAUGCAAGGUGGGAGAUUCAGUCUGAGGGAUGGUGGCUGAGGAAAGGCCCAGCUAUAGAGAGAGUCCUAAGAGAAAAUAAAAGAGCAGAGCUCCGAGCUUGCAUUUGCAUGAGGACUGAGAAGAGGUAAGAAGAACUGGCAAAAUGGUCCAUGGGAACGUUGUGAGAGGCUGAGCACAACUUCGGCUGACGAUGCGUGGUCCACUGCACACUGAUCACACAAACUUACGCUUGUCAAAAAUAUCAGGGAUGCCAUUUGAAUUGGCACACCCAAUUUAGACCAGGCCAGCAUGGUAUAUUGUCAGCCCUCAGCUGUGGAUUAGCAAAACCUUCCGAGUGACCUGAGUUAUGUGGCUCUUGAGCUGUGGCUUUUUUUUAAUGGAGUUUGUAGAAGUGGGAGGUAGUCAUGUGCGGUGGGAGGUGUUAGGAGUGUUUUUGAUGCGAGGAGUCUUUUGGGCCUCCAGAUGAUUACUUAAUCAAUCAAAUACAAGGAUUCAAGUAGAGCUGUACUUACUGCCAGAUGAUCGUUAUGUUAUGGAAAAGGUUUGAAUGGAAGAACUUGGAAAUGUAGUGAUAGACUAAUGAUGAAUCUUCCUUAGACUUGUUCAGAUAUCCCGUUGCAGAAACUCUGCCUCUUGAUGAUUGGAUUAAUGGUUGAAAGAGACAGCUUGGCAGACUCGAACAAAAGGCUUUCCACAGAUUUGCUUUGGAGGGCUUGAGCCUUUUAACCACAUGGUAAUUGUAAAGACUAUAAAUAAAAUUUAAAAAUG